rnacentral:tRNA from 1 species
CUUAAAAGUUCUCCUAACACA